rnacentral:lncRNA from 1 species
AAUUACUCAAAAGAUUAGUCUUCUUAGGUGUAAACUAAGAAUUGUCUGUCCUUUGAAAAACGUCUACUGUGAUUGGUAGAUGAGAGAACUUAGGGGAGGUGACAUAGGAGAAAAUUCCCUAUAUAAGGACAGAACCAGUCUCUUGAUGAGAGGCAGAAGAAUCCCUCUAAGGAGAAGGAUGGCUGGCUGAACUGGUGUCUAUAUUCUUGCUUGGACAGAUCUUGUGGUUUCAUGCAGAUACAGGAUUGAACUGCUGGUCCAAAGAGGUAUAAGAAUACUCUACACUUUCUCUAACUUCACUGACCUUGGUCCCUUACUAGGAAGAGAUGGAGAAAGGAAGAAGGCUGACUCCCAGAUGCUUACUGCUUGUUUACUUCAAACUUACACUGGAAAUUCACAGUUACUUGAAUAAAACAAAAUGAGCCAGGUGCUACAGACAAGAUGGCAUUCCUUUGAUUAGUUUCCACAGAAUAAAGACUAUAAGACAGAAAUAAA